rnacentral:rRNA from 1 species
GGCUAGGGGGCCAUCCCGGCUUACCAACCCGAUGCAAACUGCGAAUACCGGAGAAUGUUAUCACGGGAGACACACGGCGGGUGCUAACGUCCGUCGUGAAGAGGGAAACAACCCAGACCGCCAGCUAAGGUCCCAAAGUCAUGGUUAAGUGGGAAACGAUGUGGGAAGGCCCAGACAGCCAGGAUGUUGGCUUAGAAGCAGCCAUCAUUUAAAGAAAGCGUAAUAGCUCACUGGUCGAGUCGGCCUGCGCGGAAGAUGUAACGGGGCUAAACCAUGCACCGAAGCUGCGGCAGCGACACUGUGUGUUGUUGGGUA